CGACGCUCCUCCGAUCUCUGUACCUUUUGGGAAACAAUGUUGCCUUUAGCCUGAAAUAGGCAGGAGAGCCUGUUCUCCCAGCGCUGACCUUUAAGGAUGCCAGC